AGGUCAGUAGCUCAAUUGGCAGAGCAGCGGUCUCCAAAACCGCAGGUUGUGGGUUCGAUUCCCUCCUGGCCUGCCA
rnacentral:tRNA from 2 species